GACGGAGGGUGCAAGCGUUGUUCGGAUUGACUGGGCGUAAAGGGCGUGUAGGCGGUUGGUUAAGUCUGGUGUGAAAGCCCGGGGCUCAGCUCCGGAAGUGCAUCGGAAACUGGCCGGCUGGAGCGCGGUAGAGGAGGGUGGAAUUCCUGGUGUAGCGGUGAAAUGCGUAGAUAUCAGGAGGAACACCGGUGGCGAAGGCGGCCCUCUGGACCGUUGCUGACGCUGAGACGCGAAAGCGUGGGGAGCAAACAGG
rnacentral:rRNA from 1 species